GUUGGCAAAUGAUGUUCAAAAUAUCUUAUCCUACACACUGAUUUAAUUCUGUGAAGAUCAAUAUCUCCGCUUAUUAUCUGAUGCCUCC